UACGUAGGUGGCAAGCGUUGUCCGGAAUUAUUGGGCGUAAAGCGUGCGCAGGCGGUUCUUUAAGUCUGAUGUGAAAGCCCACGGCUCAACCGUGGAGGGUCAUUGGAAACUGGGGAACUUGAGUACAGAAGAGGAAAGCGGAAUUCCACGUGUAGCGGUGAAAUGCGUAGAGAUGUGGAGGAACACCAGUGGCGAAGGCGGCUUUCUGGUCUGUAACUGACGCUGAGGCGCGAAAGCGUGGGGAGCAAACAGG
rnacentral:rRNA from 1 species